GCCAGGCGCGGUGGCGCGUGCCUGUAAUCCCAGCUACUCAGGAGGCUGAGGCAGGAGAAUCGCUUGAACCAGGGAGCUGGAGGUUGCAGUGAGCCGAGACGCACCACAGCAGUCCAGCCUGGCGACAGAGCGAGACUCUGUCUCAA
rnacentral:sRNA from 1 species